ACCCAUGAUGGAGGGGUUAAUACGAGUAUGAGGCCUGCGGCCUUUAGUUUGUUUUGCCACCUUGUGGCCCUUGCCUG